rnacentral:rRNA from 1 species
GAUGAACGCUAGCGGCAGGCUUAAUACAUGCAAGUCGAGGGGCAGCAGGACCGUAGCAAUACAGUUGCUGGCGACCGGCAAACGGGUGCGGAACACGUACGCAACCUUCCUUUAAGUGAGGGAUAGCCCAGGGAAACUUGGAUUAAUACCUCGUAAUAUUUGAGAGUGGCAUCACUUUCUAAUUAUAGCUCCGGCGCUUAAAGAUGGGCGUGCGACUGAUUAGGUAGUUGGCGGGGUAACGGCCCACCAAGCCCGCGAUCAGUAACUGGUGUGAGGGCACGACCAGUCACACGGGCACUGAGACACGGGCCCGACUCCUACGGGAGGCAGCAGUAAGGAAUAUUGGUCAAUGGACGCAAGUCUGAACCAGCCAUGCCGCGUGGAGGAUGAAGGUCCUCUGGAUUGUAAACUUCUUUUAUCUGGGAAGAAACCCAUAUUUUCUAGUGUGGUUGACGGUACCAGAUGAAUAAGCACCGGCUAACUCCGUGCCAGCCGCCGCAGUAAUAC